ensembl:lncRNA
GCCCCAAGUGACAGACUCCUUACUGUAAAAGCUGUCGAUGAACCCAGACAAUAAACACUGCAUUCAACACAAGCUUGCCUGCCCCUGUCGCCUCUGUGAGCCAACCAAGUGAGCCCCUGCCACCUCUCAGGUGCUAUGCUGACUUGAUCCCUUUCUCAAGCAACUUAGAGCCUAACGAUGGUAAACAAGCCCUGGAGAGCCAUGAUAAGCAGCUGGGUGUUAUGGGCUGGAGGCUAAUGCCCAAGUCUUCCUGGAGCCAUGCUGAAGAUGCAUAGCAGAGCUUCAUCAGCUUAAGUCUCCUAAUGGCUCUUUGAAACAGAGUCCCUCACUCCCAAAUCCCUACCACCUCCAUCUCCAUUAGACUAAGACACUAUCCAAAAAUAAACUUAUUAAGUCACUGACAUUUACCACAAGACUUAGCCUAGCAUGAUGGAUUCAAAAAAUUUUAUUUUAAGUUACAAUAUAAUGCUAACAAUCAAGGAUUUGCACAACACUUAAAGAAUUAGGGUCCUAAGGUAAAAGAAAAGCCACAGCUGGCCUUCAGGAAAUUUGGGUAAAUGGGAAAUAUAGGGAAAUAUUCCUGCUGAUAAUCUCUCCUGACUGCAAAACCAAAGAAGGUGAUUUGCAGGAGCUCUCCUGGAAAUUUGCUGUAAAUCUCCUGUCUGCUGCCUGCCAAAGUGUCUGCCUGCAGCUGCCACCAGAGAAAAAUGGCUUUUCCUUUCUCUUAUCUUCCAAAUCUUGCACAGUCCUUCUUUUUGGCAGAAUCUAACCCAGAACCCUGCUGGAAAUGGAAUUCUGAAAGGUCUAAUUCAGCUGCUUCUACCCUGAGAUGCAGAAGAGAGUUUGGAAGGGGAUGGAAGGAAGAAAGGAAGAAAAGUCUUGAAUGAUUGAUGAAUAGAUAGUUCUGAACAACAGAAGUGCUGUAAUGUUAACUAGAACUGGGCCUUCACAUAAAAGACACUCAGUGAAGAUUUUCUGAAUGAAGAAUGAACACGCAUGAAUGAAAUACACCUCACUAAGUCCUAACUAAAUGCCUCAGUUAGGGCCUGGAAAAGUUUGGGUACUAAGAGUAAUCAGGCUGGAUGGUUAUUUAUCAUUUGUCAGUUCCAGUUGACCAUUCUCACUUUUGGUGGUGGUAAUAACUUUAGAUAGAUCAAGAGUGUUAAAUUUUCAUUUUCCUUUUUAAAAAUUGCAUAAGCUUGCUACAGACAUGUUUUAUCCUAAUCUAUUCCCUCAUUUUUGCCUUUCUAGGAUUUGUGAUAUAAUAAAAUCAACAAUAGCUUUGCAAAAAAAUAAGUUGCAUGUCAGUUGCAAAAGAAAGAAAAUACAAUAGACUGACUCUGGGAGUGAGCACUGGGCUGAGAGUUGGAAACAGUCUCCAAACAGGGGUUCCUCCAUCACCAGCAGCAAAAUAACAAUAAUAAUAAUUGGUAACACUUCUUGAAUGUUUGGGCUUCCCUGGUGCCUCAGACAGUAAAGAAUCUGUCUACAUUGUGGGAGACCCAGGUUCGAUCCCUGGGUUGGGAAGAUCCCCUGGAGGAGGAGAUGGCAACCCACUCCAGUAUUCUUGCUGGAGAAUUCCCCUGGACAGAGGUGCCUAGCAGGCUACAGUCCAUGGAGUCGCAAAGAGUCAAACAUGACUGCACAACUAAACCCAGCAAGCACAGCACUGGGUCCUCAUAGAAAUCUCCACGGAACAGGCUAAAAUGGUGAUGGUAGUUUAGCCUCUAAAUCAUGUCUGACUCUUUGCGGCCCCAUGAACUGUUACAUGCCAGGCUUCCCUGUCCAUGGGGAUUCUCCAGGCAAGAGAACUGGAGUGGAUUGCCAUUUCCUCCUCCAGGGAAUCUUCCAGGCCCAGGGACCAAAUCCUUGUCUCUUAUAUCUGCUGUAUUCACAGGUGGGUUCUUUACUAGUACCACCUGGCAAGCCCAAAUUAUAUGCUACCUACCGCACAAUUGCACUCAUCUCACAUGCUAGUAAAGUAAUGCUCAAAAUUCUCCAAGCCAGGCUUCAGCAAUAUGUGAACUGUGAACUUCCUGAUGUUCAAGCUGGUUUUAGAAAAGGCAGAGGAAUCAGAGA